rnacentral:tRNA from 1 species
CGUCGUCCGCGGCGUCGGACGGCCGGGCGGCCUGCGGGGCCGCCCCCGGCGGACGACUGAUCGUUCGAGGUGAAGGGGCGGCGG